CCCCCAGACCAGCAGCCUCAGCAUCACUGGGGAGCCUGUUAGAAAUGCAAGCUCGCAGGCCCCGCCCCACACCUACUGAAUCGAAACCUGCAUUUUAACAAGAUCCCAGGUGAUUUCAGUGCCUAUUAAAGUUUGAGAAGCCUGGGUCUGGGUCCGUGGUCCGCCCUCCGCAGCCCUGGCUGAACACUGGAAUCACCUGGGGAACUUUGCAAACACACACAGACUUUAGGGGGCUGGGGGCAACCUAGGCAUCAGAGGGGUUUGCUUCUGUUUUGUUUCGCGGUUUAGCUCCCUAGGUGAUUCUAAGGGGCAGCAACCUCUGAGACCCCUGUCAGGAAGAAGGGACAGGCUGAAGGCUGUGGAGGUAGAAGCCACCAGCGACUUGCCGUCCCCUCCCAAAGCACAGCGACGCAGUCGGGGGUGGGAGGCCGGGGAGACCCGGUGCCGGGGCAGUGCCCAGCCGGGUCUCCUUCCCGCCGGUGCGUGCGGCAGGGCAGAGACCGGCUGCGGAAGGACGAGGGCUGGGAGCCUCCUUCUCAAGAACCCCGACUGUCUGGACGCUGGGAGGCCGCUUCGGAUUGGGCCCACUGUCCUGUCCCAAAGGAGAUGCCUGCCAAAAGGAAGUAGAAGGCUCAAGUCAAGAGAAGACACAGGACUGAUUCAAGGCUGUGGGAGUUCUUGAGCUUUCUCCAUGGGCUCCCAUUUCAGAUGUGAGGGUUAGUGCAAACUCCCAUGGAUGAGCCUGCUGCAGAAUUUUAUAAAAAAUUCUCAAAUCUUCCUGGCCUCAAAUCUUCCUCCGUGAGUGGAUUUGGUGAUUUGGAAAUAAUUGAAGUCAUUUGGAAGUAAAUCUGGUGACCAAGGUCUCCUACAUGCUGUUAGCGCUCCACAGCUCCCGUCCUGUGAAUACCAGGCAGGAGCAGGCAGAGGGAGUGAGAAGCACUCAAACAAGUCAGGGCUACGUUCAAAUUCUGACUCCAGCAAUGACCAGUCAGUGAGACCCAGAGUACAUUACUUGAUCGCUCUGGGCCUCCAUGUACUCCUAGAGCGUUUGUGAGAAUGAAAAGGAAGAAAAUACCUGGUUUUCCUGAAAUAAAUUUGUGGUAGACCGUGCUAAUCCCCAUUCCUCUGAGACGGGGAAGGUUCUGGAGAAUGUGAAGAGCUUCUCUCACGGUCUCAGUUUGAUAAUGUCUUCAGAAGAAAUAGUACUACCAUGAGGAGGAGUCUUGACAUUUUGUGGCGGGCAAUAUGGAGCACUUACCAGUGCCCACCUAUUCCCGCUUCCUCAACCUGGCCGCCCACUGCCACCCACUUGCGGCCACUUGAGUUAUAGUCAUCGACAUCUCUUUGCCUUUCCUUCUCCCAGGUCAGCAAGCAGUCAAAAAGCAGGUGUGGUUGGUGCCACAAGAUGGACAAGAAUCCUCAACCCUAUGAGACAGACGCUGAGUGCGUCCAAAUUAUCAUGAAGUGGUCGUUAAAAAGAGAUCUCACUUCUUGCUUCUGACUAUUUUUGAGGAGACUUAUUAAUUGGCGUGAGUAAUGCUUUCCUUAUAGAUCUCAUAAAAUUUUACAUUUGUCUGUCUGUGUUUUCCACUGCUAAGUUUCGGGAGCCAGGACUUGUGUUGACCCCGUUCAGGACCCACGGCACCAACCCUGCAUUCACUGUGCUUCCUGAUCCAUCUGUCACAUAAAAAGGCUUGUCUCCUGGGUGCUCCUUUCCAAAGUUUCUCCUCCCGAUGUCAAGGACUGUGAAGAUGACUUAGGAUAGUUGUAUCAGGUGGGAGGAGAUAUAAGCUCUUACUAGACAUUUAGGAAUAGGUAACGAUCAGUCAAAAAUCGAAAUAAAUUAGGAUUCUCUGCCUUGGGUUUACUAGUGGAGGCUUCCUCUUCUCCCUGCUCCAUGGUCCUCUCUCGAAUUCUCUAAGCUGAAUUAGAGUUAGGGUUUGUGGGUUUCUCCU